AGAACCUUACCAGGUCUUGACAUCUUUUGAUCACCUGAGAGAUCAGGUUUCCCCUUCGGGGGCAAAAUGACAGGUGGUGCAUGGUUGUCGUCAGCUCGUGUCGUGAGAUGUUGGGUUAAGUCCCGCAACGAGCGCAACCCUUAUGACUAGUUGCCAGCAUUUAGUUGGGCACUCUAGUAAGACUGCCGGUGACAAACCGGAGGAAGGUGGGGAUGACGUCAAAUCAUCAUGCCCCUUAUGACCUGGGCUACACACGUGCUACAAUGGAUGGUACAACGAGUUGCGAGACCGCGAGGUCAAGCUAAUCUCUUAAAGCCAUUCUCAGUUCGGACUGUAGGCUGCAACUCGCCUACAUGAAGUCGGAAUCGCUAGUAAUCGCGGAUCAGCACGCCGCGGUGAAUACGUUCCCGGGUCUUGUACACACCGCCU
rnacentral:rRNA from 1 species